GAGACGCCAUUACUAUCUCCUAUGUGACACGCGAAUGCGGUUGAUGAACGGAAUUUUUGUGGUGUUUAUCUACGGUUUUUUGUGGGAAGAGGUGAAGUAUAUCUGAAAAGAAGUACGCAUAUACCUCUAGUGAAAAGUAAAGGUUAACGGCUGCGGGACACAUAACCUCAACCUCGACCUCAACAGUCAACUUCAAGCGAAAGAUAAAGUUCUUUUUGACGCUAUAUGGAAAUAAGUCGGUGUUGUUUUGGUUCAGUGUUUGUAUGCCGUUCGGCAAACUUUCCCCGACACUAGCGAAAGUGCCAUUGAAUUGACGGUGGGUGAGUGGUUACGCUUAAGCACGCUGAGACAGUCAAGAGAAAAACCUCUCCAAAAUCAAUAAUUUUAUUAUAUAUUAUUAAUGAAUAUUUGAAAUGUAUCUAUUGUGAUAAUAUUCUACAUUUUUAGGAAUUGUUAUUUUGUUUUAUUUUAUAAGAAUAUAUCUUUAUUUUUUCA